rnacentral:rRNA from 1 species
UACGAAGGGGGCUAGCGUUGCUCGGAAUCACUGGGCGUAAAGGGUGCGUAGGCGGGUCUUUAAGUCAGGGGUGAAAUCCUGGAGCUCAACUCCAGAACUGCCUUUGAUACUGGCGAUCUCGAGUCCGGGAGAGUGAGUGGAACUGCGAGUGUAGAGGUGAAAUUCGUAGAUAUUCGCAAGAACACCAGUGGCGAAGGCGGCUCACUGGCCCGGUACUGACGCUGAGGUGCGAAAGCGUGGGGAGCA